rnacentral:rRNA from 1 species
UACGUAGGGGGCAAGCGUUAUCCGGAUUUACUGGGUGUAAAGGGGGCGCAGACGGCGAUGCAAGCGAGGAGUGAAAGCCCGGGGCCCAACCCCGGGACUGCUCUUGGAACUGCGUGGCUGGAGUGCAGGAGGGGCAGGCGGAAUUCCUGGUGUAGCGGUGAAAUGCGUAGAUAUCAGGAGGAACACCGGUGGCGAAGGCGGCCUGCUGGACUGCAACUGACGUUGAGGCCCGAAAGCGUGGGGAGCAAACAGG